CCUACGGGUGGCAGCAGUGAGGAAUAUUGGUCAAUGGGCGCGAGCCUGAACCAGCCAAGUAGCGUGAAGGAUGACGGCCCUACGGGUUUUAAACUUCUUUUAUAAAGGAAUAAAGUGAGUCACGUGUGCCUUUUUGUAUUUACUUUAUGAAUAAGGGUCGGCUAAAUCCCCGCCAUCAGAGGCGGUAAUACGGAGGGUACGAGCGUUAUCCGGAUUUAUUGGGUUUAAAGUGAGCGUAGUUGGGUUGUUAAGUCAGUUGUGAAAGUUUGCGGCUCAACCGUAAAAUUGCAGUUGAUACUGGCAGUCUUGAGUACAGUAGAGGUAGGCGGAAUUCGUGGUGUAGCGGUGAAAUGCUUAGAGAUCACGAAGAACUCCGAUUGCGAAGGCAGCUUCCUAAACUGAAACUGACGUUGAGGCGCGAAAGUGUGGGUAGCAAACAGGAUUAGAUACCCCUGUAGUC
rnacentral:rRNA from 1 species